UGAGUAAAACAAUUUUUACAUUUUCGGUUUUUAGGGGCAAGGUGUGUAAUCUGUAUUAAAAAGCAAUAACAAGUUUCACUUAUUAACUAAAACAAUACGAGAAUUUUCUUCCACUGACACUUUUUUAGGAUGAAAAUGGUCGUAUAAUAACAUCUUAAAUAUUUGUAACUGGAUGUCUAGAAAUUAACUUAAACUUAAAAACUUGUUACCUAUUUUUAGUCUAUACUAUGAUUAGUAAUAGUAGUAUUACUAUGAGUAAGAAGGUUUAGCCCGAAAGUAAACAUUAACCUUAACUAAGUCUCAAGUACGCCCCUUAAAUAGGUUUGUUGUGAAUUUUAACGUUAUCUCAUAAUUAUAAUUUAUAGUUUGAUUGGAACGUAUUUUUUUUUAAUAAUUGGGUAACGUUUUAAAUAUGGCACUACUCAUACACGCCAAUGAUGGAUGGCUGUUGUCACAUGAAAUAUUUCUGGAAUCAAUGUAUCGUAAUUUACAUUAUUGUGUUCAAGCAAGUGUUCCUGACACAGUCCCAGAAUCCAAUCAUUCAGAAAUAAGGCCUAUUUCUUGUAAUCUUGUUCCAGUGACAACUUGCUACUUGAACUUGAAGUCUAAUGUUCAAUUUAAGAUCACAUGUGAUGGAACUUGUGACGCUUGUAAUAAUGUCACCGUUGACAAUAAAAAUCAUGAAAAAAUACUAAAUGCAAAGCCAAAGAAAGAUAUGUUUGGAAUAAGAACACCUUUUUUAAUGGAUUCUGCUGCAAGAAAAAUUGCUAAAUUAAAAAGGCAUUCUAGCGAAACACAGGAAAGAGAAGAAAGUAAAUCGAAAAAGGUUUCAUUAAAGUUUUUCAAACCAAAAGAGGAAUACAUCUUUAAGACAACAGCAAAGAUUAUACAACUGGGAUUUGAAAUUAACCAGUUUCAUCCAGAGCCCAUAACAUCAGAGGAGUGGCUACAGAACAAUAGCUGUGCUCGUAACUUUGUUAAAAGAUUAAAUUCGUAUGAAGUGAUUGCCAAAGAUAUGUGUAUGCCCAGUACUUCUUCAGAAACUAAAGCAGAACUAGGAGCUAUGCAGUGUGGUCUAGAAAACAGACUUGUGGAGUAUACUGGAAGUUCUCCAUGCAUUGUUACACAUGACAGGAAGAGUUUCCUUUUGCCUCCUCACAGUUCAUUUUUAUGGUCUGACAUCAUAGCACUUGAUGUCUUCAUAAAUGCAGGUAAAAAAUUUGAUGCUAUUUUAAUGGAUCCACCAUGGGAGAACAAGUCAGUGAAGAGAAAAAAAGGGUAUGCUGUUGUGGCUAAUGAAAAAUUGUGUCAUCUUCCUAUCCCUCAACUUGCCAAACCAGGAACCUUAGUGUUGGUGUGGUCUACUAAUAAUGACAAUCAGAUCAGUUUCAUCAAAAACCAACUUUUCCCUUACUGGUCUGUAUAUCAUUGUGCAGAUUGGUAUUGGGUAAAGGUAACACAGAAGGGGGAACCAGUUUAUCCUUUUGGCAAUCCACACAAAAAACCAUUUGAAAACCUUAUAAUUGGUAGGUUUCUUGUGGACAGUCAUGACAUGGGAUCAUUCCAGCCUGUAGAAGAAGACAAAGUACUUGUCAGUGUUCCUAGUGCUGUUCAUUCUCAUAAACCUCCUCUGUCUGUCUGGUUGAAGAAGUUCAACGUCUCAACUGAAACAACAAGAACCAUUUCUUGAUUUUUUAUAAGAUGGAUUAAUUGAACAGAAUGUGUAAACUAGAACUCUUCUCACAUUCACAGUAGAGUAAAGAAAGCUUUAAAAGAAGUUCUGAAACCUUAUCUCCCAGAAGGAGCCAAAGGCCUAGAAUUAUUUGCCAGAUACUUAUUACCGCAUUGGACCAGUUGUGGUAAUGAG
rnacentral:misc_RNA from 1 species